rnacentral:rRNA from 1 species
AUUUCAUGGUGCGGAGCCCGGUGUUUGGGCGUCGGAAGUAAUAAGCACAUUUCCUCCGACGUUUCCCAGCCGAAUGUCUCCUGCCCGCCAAAGCUCCCAAUUGUCUACAAGGCAUGACCUCGGAUGGGUAGGGAUACCCGCUGAACUUAAGCAUAUCAAUAAGCGGAGGAAAAGAAACCAACAGGGAUUGCCUCAGUAACUGCGAGUGAAGCGGCAAAAGCUCAAAUUUGAAAUCUGGCCCGUCUCCGGCGGCCCGAGUUGUAAUUUGGAGGGGCAUCUUCAGGGGUGGGCGUCGUCCUAAGUUCCUUGGAACAGGACGUCACAGAGGGUGAGAAUCCCGUGCCUGGGCGGCUGUCCCGCUCCGUGUGAAGUGUCUCCGACGAGUCGAGUUGUUUGGGAAUGCAGCUCAAAAUGGGUGGUAAAUUCCAUCUAAAGCUAAAUAUUGGCGAGAGACCGAUAGCGCACAAGUAGAGUGAUCGAAAGAUGAAAAGCACUUUGAAAAGAGAGUUAAAAAGUACGUGAAAUUGUUGAAAGGGAAGCGCUUGAGACCAGACUCGCCGGACGGCAACCAUCGGUGCUUCUGUGCCGUGCACUUGCCGACCGGCGGGCCAGCAUCGGUUCUGGCGGUGGGAAAAAGGCCCGGGCAAUGUGGCUCCUCUCGGGGAGUGUUAUAGGCCCGGGUGUCAUACCGCCCGCUGGGACCGAGGACCGCG